UACAGAGGGUGCGAACGUUGUUCGGAUUUACUGGGCGUAAAGCGCGUGUAGGCGGUCGGGCAAGUCGGAUGUGAAAGCCCAGGGCUCAACCCUGGAAGUGCACUCGAUACUGCUCGGCUAGAGUCCCGGAGAGGAUGGUGGAACUCUCGGUGUAGAGGUGAAAUUCGUAGAUAUCGAGAAGAACACCGGUGGCGAAGGCGGCCAUCUGGACGGUGACUGACGCUGAGACGCGAAAAGCGUGGGGAGCAAACAGG
rnacentral:rRNA from 1 species